rnacentral:rRNA from 1 species
GGAAUAUUGCGCAAUGGGCGAAAGCCUGACGCAGCGACGCCGCGUGUGGGAUGACGGCCUUCGGGUUGUAAACCACUGUCGGGAGGGACGAAUGCCCCGCAAGGGGAGUGACGGUACCUCCAAAGGAAGCACCGGCUAACUCCGUGCCAGCAGCCGCGGUAAUACGGAGGGUGCGAGCGUUGUCCGGAAUCACUGGGCGUAAAGGGCGCGUAGGCGGCCUGAUAAGUAGGGGGUGAAAUCCUGCGGCUUAACCGCAGGGCUGCCUUCUAGACUGUCAGGCUUGAGCACAGUAGAGGCAGGUGGAAUUCCCGGUGUAGCGGUGGAAUGCGUAGAGAUCGGGAAGAACAUCGGUGGCGAAGGCGGCCUGCUGGGCUGUUGCUGACGCUGAGGCGCGACAGCGUGGGGAGCAAA